rnacentral:rRNA from 1 species
UACGGAGGGUGCAAGCGUUAUCCGGAUUUACUGGGUUUAAAGGGUGCGUAGGUGGGCAGGUAAGUCAGUGGUGAAAUCUUCAAGCUUAACUUGGAAACUGCCAUUGAUACUAUUUGUCUUGAAUUAUCUGGAGGUAAGCGGAAUAUGUCAUGUAGCGGUGAAAUGCUUAGAUAUGACAUAGAACACCCAGUGCGAAGGCAGCUUACUACGGAUAUAUUGACACUGAGGCACGAAAGCGUGGGGAUCAAACAGG